GAAUUGUCGAUUUCACUCCGCGGGUGACCACUGCGAGCGAUGCCGCAGGGGUUACCAUGGUGAUGCUGCCAACAAGACCUGCCGUGCUUGCCCUUGUCCCUUUACCUGGAACAACUGGGCGUUGGCCUGUCUGGACAUUGGCUCGGGAGUGGUUGAAUGUUUGUGUAAGCCUGGUUACGCGGGAUCCAGAUGUGAGAGAUGUGCAUUUGGUUACUACGGCAACCCGCUGGAGCGUGGAGGCAGCUGCAAGCCGUGCAACAUCAAGGACAGGCUGAACAGUUGUCAUUCCCGGACUGGAG